rnacentral:rRNA from 1 species
AUUGAACGCUGGCGGCAGGCCUAACACAUGCAAGUCGAGCGGAUGAAGGGAGCUUGCUCCUGGAUUCAGCGGCGGACGGGUGAGUAAUGCCUAGGAAUCUGCCUAGUAGUGGGGGAUAACGUCCGGAAACGGGCGCUAAUACCGCAUACGUCCUGAGGGAGAAAGUGGGGGAUCUUCGGACCUCACGCUAUCAGCUGAGCCUAGGUCGGAUUAGCUAGUUGGUGGGGUAAAGGCCUACCAAGGCGACGAUCCGUAACUGGUCUGAGAGGAUGAUCAGUCACACUGGAACUGAGACACGGUCCAGACUCCUACGGGAGGCAGCAGUGGGGAAUAUUGGACAAUGGGCGAAAGCCUGAUCCAGCCAUGCCGCGUGUGUGAAGAAGGUCUUCGGAUUGUAAAGCACUUUAAGUUGGGAGGAAGGGCAGUAAGUUAAUACCUUGCUGUUUUGACGUUACCAACAGAAUAAGCACCGGCUAACUUCGUG